CUGAGUACGGCGGAACACGUGAAAUUCCGUCGGAAUCCGGGAGGACCAUCUCCCAAGGCUAAAUACUCCCUAGUGACCGAUAGUGAACCAGUACCGUGAGGGAAAGGUGAAAAGCACCCCGGAAGGGGAGUGAAACAGUUCCUGAAACCGUGUGCCUACAAGUAGUUAGAGCCCGUUAAUGGGUGAUAGCGUGCCUUUUGUAGAAUGAACCGGCGAGUUACG
rnacentral:rRNA from 1 species